UGGGGAAUAUUGGACAAUGGGCGAAAGCCUGAUCCAGCCAUGCCGCGUGUGUGAAGAAGGUCUUCGGAUUGUAAAGCACUUUAAGUUGGGAGGAAGGGCAUUAACCUAAUACGUUAGUGUUUUGACGUUACCGACCGAAUAAGCACCGGCUAACUCUGUGCCAGCAGCCGCGGUAAUACAGAGGGUGCAAGCGUUAAUCGGAAUUACUGGGCGUAAAGCGCGCGUAGGUGGUUUGUUAAGUUGGAUGUGAAAGCCCCGGGCUCAACCUGGGAACUGCAUCCAAAACUGGCAAGCUAGAGUACGGUAGAGGGUGGUGGAAUUUCCUGUGUAGCGGUGAAAUGCGUAGAUAUAGGAAGGAACACCAGUGGCGAAGGCGACCACCUGGACUGAUACUGACACUGAGGUGCGAAAGCGUGGGGAGCAAACA
rnacentral:rRNA from 1 species